rnacentral:rRNA from 1 species
GGGUGCGAUCAUACCAGCGUUAAUGCACCGGAUCCCAUCAGAACUCCGUAGUUAAGCGCGCUUGGGCUAGAG